GAAUUCUGUAGGAUAUCCAGGCAACAAAGAUGAGGAAAGUGACUAUGAGAUGAUUCAUAUUUUGAAUCGAAAGAGGUAGUACAAUUUCAAAUAGAAAAUUUAUAUGAACUGCAAAAUGGGGAAUGAAUCUUCAAGUUAAAACAUGGAAGUAGUCUCCAAUUUUGACAAAUUAUGUUGAACAUAAGAAAUAGGAAGUAAUUCAUUUAAGUAGUCUAGCAUUCUAAUUGUACUUGCAACCCAAAAAUGGAUUAAAAAUCCAUUCCUCAUCUUUGUGCCUCACUGACUGUGGUGUUUUUCUAAACUAUAGCAGAAGACUAUUAUGAGCACUCAACAAAAACAAAGAGAGAGAGUUCUAAUAUCAGAAUCCAAUUCUAGCAAUACUAGUCAAACACAUAUCAAAUUAGAGGCAAAAAAGCCCAUUCAAUAAGCUCUAUAUAGAACAAGUACAGAAUCCGUUAAACAUAUAUAAAGGAACAUAGGAAAAAAAAUGUUGAAUCCAACCAGAGUUUCUUCCCACAGGUGGUGGUACAUAAUUGAAUUGAGUGGUAUCUCUGAUACUUCAUCUUCAGUUUGAUCAUCAUCCAUGGACCAUGGCUGGUUGUGAUUCACGUAGAUAAGUGAAGUUCUUUAAUCAAUGCUGAGAAUUAGGAGAAGAAGAGGAUGGCCUAUCUGAAACAACACUUUGCUCUUCCUCCCCUUGAAUUCGUGCUGGAAUGCUAAAACCUGGCAAUCCCUCCGAUGCAAACCUGCUGCCAAAAAUAAAAGACUGAUGAAUUUCCUGUGUUCUAUGGUGGUCUGAGGAUGCCAUAGUAAGAUCAUUCCAAGCACGAAUAGAUUGUGCAAAACUGGACUGAAGGGGUCCCCUCUGAGAGAAUGCUGAGUCUUGGCCUAGCAAUGCUUGUUGUGGUGGCAUUUGUGGUGGAUUGAAUGCAAAACCGCCACCGGUUCUAUUCUCAGUACUUGUGUUAUUGCUCCAAGCCACCAUUCUCUGGAAAUUAGCUUCAUAUCCCACUGGAGCUGAGCCUGCAAAAAGGUUCUGAUCAUUUGAAGGUGCAUGGCUUGUGUCUGCCUGUGAUUGCCCACGAAUUAGACCUUGGUCUUGGAAACAAUGAAGGGACAGGCCAAGAUCUUCAGUAUGGUUUGUGGUUCUUGUGAUAAUAUCAGGUGGAUAGCCCUGAAAGUUCAUUGAUGAGGUUGUGGAGCUUGUGGGGAACAAAGAUUUCAUGGUAUCAGGAAUGGCACCAGGGUCUAUAGGAGGUGUAAUGAAGGAGGAAUCAUUACUUGGAUUAUCGGCCAAUUGUCUUUGGAGCUGAAAACUAUAACCAGAAGACUCUGAUUGCUCUGCAAUUGCCAUUUCACUAGACCCAGCAUUCUGGUCUGCCUCCAUGGUUCCAUUAGUAUUAUUAGCUAUUGGGUGCCAUGGUGGAAGCUCAGCAAGCUUGUCAAUUGCAGACUUGGCCUUCUUAAUGAGCCAAUCAACAGCUUUGCUUGGUCGGUCAUAGCCUAACCGGUCUUGAACAUCAUAGAAUUGUAUUGCAGUAUGGGCAGAUAGCCGAACCCUGCGGUCCCUAGGACCUUUAGCGGUGUAAACCUUGCUGUGUCGAUCUUUACGCCCAGUAGACCUAACAAUGUGGCCUCCUUGGACUUGAACAAUUUCUCCUUCAGCUCGUUUCAUUCCUGUUCCUUGUCUAGAUUUUGCAUAUUCUAUAGUCUGGUCUGAAGUUCGUCUGCCGGGAGCUACUUCUGCUGCUCGGCUGGAACGUAUCACCUCCACAUAUUGCUGCUGGUUUUGGAGAAGCUGAGGAUGUUGGUAAAGGGUUUGUUGUGUGUCUAGGUUUUGUUCUUGAUUUUCUUGUGAACUAGGAUGUAUAAUUUGGUAGGUAGGAUUCUGUGGGUGCAGUUGAUAUUUCUGGAAAUCCAGAUUUCGCUUUUCUUGAAGUUCUUGAUGUUCUUCAAAGCUCACUUCUUUUGCUUUCCUCUUACUCUUUGGUGCUGGUUUUUGCUAUUUCUUGAUGCUCUUCGAUCAUCUGCUGCUGUCACAAAACCUUAAAGCUGAUACUCCUGCAAUUGCUAAUCCCAAAAACCCCUGCAACCCUGCCAUUGCCGUCUUCAGAUUCCACACACCAAUCCAAACCGCAAAGUCCAAAAUCCACACCAUGCAAGAAAUAUAAACCCACUAAAACAAGUUUCCAUUUUUAAGAGAAAAGAAAAGGUAGUGACCAACUCAUCUAUCUCCUUCUCCACAGAUGUCAGAGUGAAAAUGGAUUAGAAUGGUGGGUCUCUCUAUGCGGGCUAAAAAUUUUGCAAGAAAAAUGAAAUAGAGCAAAUGGAAAAUUGUGCUGAUAUUCAUUAAGAAAAGAGGAAAACUGAAGUAAAUAUGUUAGACACCAUAACUGAAACUUAGAAAGAAUUAGGAAAACUCACUAAACAUGCUUUGCCUUUGACAUAACAACUGUGAAAAUUCGCUCCUCAACGGUCUUCUUGAAUGCUUUCAACAUGCUGUCUCGAUAAGCCUAGUUUGAGGAUACAACAAAAUCAAAGGUUGAAAACAUUAUAAGAAAAUAACCCACAUCAAACGAGAGCAAGUACUUGAGAGAUUAUUAUCCCACUAUCCAGAAGUAGAGGAGAAAUAUCAGAUUUUUUAUAGAUUCCAUAAGUAAUCAUUGCAAUAUAAGAGCAGAUUUGUAGGAUAUGAAAAAGAAAUCCGUUGAACAAUACCUAAGCACCCACUACUUCAAACAAGGUGAAAGGUAAAGGGAAAGGUUUUGAAGCUGUAAAUAUGAGAGGAAGAAAUAUCCUAACUUUACUCAUAGAGAGCCGCUUGAUGCCUUUGCAAAGGGUAGCAGAGUUUGAUCAGAGGAUAUUAAAGAUAUUUUGUUAUCUUAGCCCAACAAGAAACAAAUGUAACAGUAACCCCAACUUUAUCUAGUUACCUCUCCUUAAAACUCAACUCUAUUCUUCUCUCUCUCAGUUACUACUCUUUUUUUCUUUUUCUUUCUCAAAAGGAAAAUUAUGAUUCUUAAAUCUUAAUUAGAACUGUUGGUGAUGAGUUAUGAUUAGAGUCGUGGUUGAUAAAAGGUGACUCAAAUGACCACUUCUCCUACCCACACCUCUUGAAGCUUUAAUAAUG
rnacentral:misc_RNA from 1 species